UUUGCUCCGGCUAGAUUUUGCCAAGCUGAUCUUGAUGACACUUUCUUCUGAGCUGUUCUUUUGGAGUAUUUUUUGUCGCGCUAUUUUUUGAAGCAUUUCAUGGCACUCUUUGUCGAGCUUUUUGUGGCGGGUUGCUCUCCCUAGCAUCUGUUGCCGAGCUGGUUGUGCCAAGCUGCUCUUUGAGGUGGUUUUUUUUUUUUCUUUUUUUUUGCCGAGCUGCCCUUCGAGUUACUUUUUGUCGAACUGUUUGGCCGAGUUGAUCUUCGAGGCAAUACUUGCCGAGUUGGCUGUGCCGAGCCACCCUUCGAGGCACUUUAUGCCAAGCUGCCCUUUGAGGCACUUUUUGCCGAGCUAUUCUUCGAGACAUUUUUUGUUGAGUUAGGCUUAAUGGCUUUUCUUACUGAGUUGGCUGUGCUGAGUUGUUCUUCAAGGCACUUUUUGCCGAGUUAGUUGUUCUGAGUUGCUCUUCGAGGCAUUUUUUGUCGAGCUGGUUUGUGUCAAACCGCUCUUAAUGGCUUUUCUUGCUGAGUUGGCUGUGCUAAGCUACUCUUUGAGGCACUUUUUGCCGAGCUAGCUGUGCCGAGCUGCUCUUCGAGGCAUUUUUGCUAAGCUACACUCUUUGUUUGCAUGUGAGCUUUGUUCUGCUAAUGAGCUCUGCUAAUUUGUUAGCUGUUGUGCGGCCUCACGAGCUGUGCUCGUCAAUUGGGUCUUAUUUGUCUAAUGAGUUGUGCUUAUUUGUUGGGUUGUUGUGUAGCCUCACGAGCUGUGCUCGUUAAUCGGGCCUUGUUUGCCUAGUGAGGUGUGCUCAUUUGUUGGGCUGUUGCGCGGCCUUAUGAGUUGUGCUCGUCAAUUAGGCCUUGUUUGCCUAAUGGGCAGUCAAUCUGACCGCUUUGAAGCGAGUUGAAGUUUUUUUCGAUGUCCGCCGUCUUGCAAAAUUUUAAUAAAUACUUGUCAAAUCGGUUGUACCUCGAGAAGUAAAAAAUUCUAGCACCAUGUCAGCGUAUGUAUGGGGAUUUGAUAUCUUUUCCCUUGAGAUGCACACCUUGUUGAUGCGUUCCCGGCUUCUUGAGAUGCUAAUUUUCUCGGGGAUUCAUGUAGGCUUUCUAUAUAAAGGUCGUGGGCUCCCUCAUUUGCUUCUCAUCUCAUCCAAGGGACCUUUUUGGCUUCUAGGUACGCUCUCCUUCUACCCUUGGCUGCUUUUCUCUGCUUUUGUGUGACAUUGUAUGUUUGUCUUGUUCUUCAUGUUCUUCGUUGUUCUUAUGAGAAGUUUGCUUUUUUGAUCUUUUUCUGCAUAGUGUCUGUCAUGUUUUUAUACAAAAUCUACUCGUUUGAUCUUGUUUCGCACAGUAUCUUCUGUGUUUUUGUGGGAAGUUCACCUGUUUGAUCUAUUUGUAUACUUGCAUAAAUUGCUUGUUUCGUAUUUCGAUUUUGUCAUGGAGUUCUCGGCUCCCCCAGCGAGGGCUCCCGUCACGGUGAGGAGUGCUAGGUGUGAUUUGUCCUCCUCAGACAUACAGAAUGUCCGCUACUUCUUUGCUAUUCCUGCAAACAUUAGUAUUAGGUUACCUACUAGCUCGGAGUCGGCUCUUGAUCCUAGCCCCAGUGAACUCUAUUUGUAAACAGACUAUUUGGACUUAGGACUUAGACUUCCUUUUCUUCCUUUCAUUUCUGAGGUGUUACGUUUUUACUGCAUAGCCCCUUUGCAGCUUAUUCUGAACUUGUACCUUUCUAUGGUGUGUUUUGCUGUCCUCCUGCUCAGAAAAGGUCAUCAGCCCACAGUGUCUCUUUCAGAGCUGCUUCCAGAUGAGGACGCACUUUGUGGAGAAGGAACUAUACUACUUCAACUUUUUGUCGGAUUAUAAACUUUUUACUUUGGGCAGCUCUUCUAUUCACGAUUGGAAGUUUCGAUACUUCUUUGCAUCCGGAGAGUUGAAUCAUAUUGGGCCUCGCGUUUGGUCUGCUCCUCUUAAUGGUGAUGUUCUCUUCACUUUAUUUACUUACUACGUAUGUAGGAGUUAUGUGUAGGUACAUGUUGCUUACUUGUUUUUUCGUUUUCUUUUAGCUCGGGUGCGUCAUAUACUUCCGACGCUGUCUCCCGCUGAGCAGGCCACUCUAAAAGAGCUACGAGCCCUUGGUCGACAAGGGAUAGUCCCUCACGAGGAGCUGCUCAAGGAAUAUAGAGUUUAACAAGUACGAAUUUCUCAUGGGUGAAGCUAAGAAACAAAGGGCGAGCAGGAGUACGAAGAAGAGGAAGGAGCUCGAGGGGGAGCUGUCUCAGAGGGAAGCGGCCAUUGUAAGCGAGAGUGAGCCUCUUGCUGCGUAGAAUGUUGCGGCAGCGCAUCUUCCUAGUCCGACCGUGUUUAAUGAAGCUAUCUUUCCCGAGCCGACCCGUUCUGCUCCUGCGCUGCAUAGGGCGGUUCACUUGGAGGAUUUUGUUUGGCGACCAUGACCUUGGCCGAGGAAAAAAAGGUUACCGAGAUGUACCGGCAGACCUUGGAUGCCAGAGAAAAGUACGUUGUUGCCCAGAAUGAUCCCCGUGAGGCCAAGUUUCGCGAGCGGGUCCUUUAGGAAGAAAUUGAAAGGAUCUGAAAGGAGGAGGUUCUUGCUGCUGCUACGGUUCUUGCUGCUGAUGCUGUCAGAGCUGCGGUGAGGGAGUAUAAGGAUUCAUCAUGGUUCAUCAUGGACACUGCCAAAACUUAUCGUGUAGGUUUCAGGAGGUGCUGGGAGCAGGUCAGGACCAUGCACCCUGACCUUCUUGGUGGUGUGUGUUCACAUGGGUACGGUCGUGAGAGUCCUGAGUUCGUAGACGAGAUGAACGAGGUGGAUGAGGUGGAGAAAGAGGUUGCAGAGGGAGGCAAAGCCAACUGAUCUACUGAAUAGUCCAACUUCAUAGUUUUAUUCAAUAUGAUGUAAUGCACUUUUGAGUUUCUUGGUUGUACAACUUUUGUAUUUGAGACUUACUAUUCCGUUGUACAACAGUUGGUGAAAUGAAAAAGUCAAAGAGUAAUAUUUUUUCAGCA